rnacentral:lncRNA from 10 species
GAAGUUCGUGCCUUUUGCAGUGGGGAGGAGCCUGGCCCUUCCUCUUCCUGGGUGUUACCUGGAAUUCAAUCUGCCAGGUGGGAAGCAUGUACUAACGAGACUCUCAGUCUUCCUUUGUGGAGAGUCCCUGUUUCCUUUUCUUUUCCCUUUUCACCCAAUAAAUUCCUUUUUUCUCCCCUUUUAAAUUAUAUGUGAGCCUUUUUUCAUGAUCAUGUGACGAGGACCCUGUCUUUAGCUGAGCUACGGAGAGAGUCCUGCAACACCUUCACGUAGACAUUCUUUCUCUCAGGAACUCAGGAAUGAAAGCUUUGUGGGAACAUCACUUCACAAUCAUUGAAGAAGUGGGAAAGAAACUCUGGAAGUUUCUAGUUGGCAAUUAAGUGCUCUGGCCACACUUCACUUCUGCUCACAACUCAUUGGUCAGAACUAGUCACAAGGCACCAUCCCACCACAAGAAUGCCAGAAAAGUUCAUAGUUCCAUCUGUACAAAAGUGAACCAAAUUCUCUGUUAAUGGACAUUGGACACAAAGGAACAUUGAGCAAAGAGGCAAAAAAAAAGAAACAUGCGCUGAAUUCAGAAAAAUAUUUGCGAAAACUAAAAUGAAAUCAGUAAGCAAACAGGAGAAUGGAGCUAUUCUGGAGAGAGAAUGGCAGUGGAUUAAAAGUUCUGAACCUGCCUGGGUCUCAAUCACAGAAACCUGAAACAGCCAUUGGACCCCCAUUGCUAAUCCCUGUGCAGUCUGUAGUCACACCUGGAGUGUCAGCUUUUAUAGGUGGAGAUUGAAGUUGGGAAAAGCAAUCACUUUCAGAAAGCAAACCCUCUUGUUCCUGGUGCUCAGCUGGAAGAUUGCCCCGGCCUCUGGCUCUUUCUGUGAAUGGAACAGGGAGCAGAAGAUGAAGGAUAUAUCACCAUUGUAGCUGGUGACUACUGUCAAUCAUCACUCUUUCUGUGACGAACACUGACUUGCUGUGUUAGCCUUGCUGAGCUGGCUUUGAGGAGAGGCAG